rnacentral:ncRNA from 1 species
CAAAGGUUUGGUCCUGACCUUGAGAUCAAUUUUUACUUAACUUACACAUGCAAGUCUCAGCGCACCAGUGAAGACGCCCUAAAAUCCCAUUCAUAGGGAUAAGGAGCCGGCAUCAGGCACAAUAAUUUGCCCAUGACGCCUAGCCACGCCACACCCACAAGGGUAUACAGCAGUGAUUAACCUUGAGUAUAAGCGAAAGCUUGACUCAGUUAGAGUAAAUAGAGCCGGCAAAUCUAGUGCCAGCCGCCGCGGUUACACCAGAGGCUCAAAUUGAAACCCAUCGGCGUAAAGCGUGAUUAAAAUUAUAUCUGAUUUAGAGUUAAACCUAAACUAAGCUGUAAUACGCUUGUUGAAGGGAAAGCCAAAACAAAAGUUACUCUAACUAAACCAAUUUGAACUCACGACAGUCGAGACACAAACUGGGAUUAGAUACCCCACUAUGCUCGAUCGUAAACCUUAACUUACAACCAAAUCGCCAGGGAACUACAAGCAAAGCUUAAAACCCAAAGGACUUGACGGUACCCCAUAUCCCCCUAGAGGAGCCUGUCCUAUAAUCGAUGAUCCCCGUUUAACCUCACCAUUUUUAGCCUUUCAGCCUGUAUACCUCCGUCGCCAGCUCACCACGUGAGCGAAAUCCAGUGAGCUCAAUGAAUUUAUCCUUCAACACGUCAGGUCAAGGUGCAGCAAAUAUAAUGGGAAGAGAUGGGCUACACUUUCUAGCUUAGAAAACACGGAAGACUACCAAUGAAAUCUAGUCCAAAGGCGGAUUUAGCAGUAAGAAGAGAUUAGUUAGCUCUUCUAAAUUUGGCACUGGGGUGUGUACACACCGCCCGUCACCCUCUUCAAAAAACAUAAAAUAGUAUUUAACUCGCUUUCCCAAAAUUAGAAGAGGUAAGUCGUAACAUGGUAAGCGUACCGGAAGGUGUGCUUGGAAA